rnacentral:lncRNA from 1 species
UCGAAUUGUUUUUUUUUUUUGUAAUCCAUGAUCGAAUUUUUUGGUUUUUUGUAACCCAUAAUAGAAUUUUUUGUAAUCCAUGAUCGAAAUGUUUGCUUUUUUUUUUGUAAUCCAUGAUUGAAUUUUUUGUUUUUUGUUUUUUUUGUAACCCAUGAUAGAGUUUUUUGUAAUCCAUGAUUGAAUUUUUUGUAAUCCAUGAUCAAACUGUUUUUUUCUUUUUUUGUAAUCCACGAUUGAAUUUUUUGUUUUUUU